AGGAGAUGGGGGGUUACGCCAGAAUUACCACACGCAGCCUUCUCUCACCUCCUCUCCCCCAGAAACGCCGCCGCCGCAGCCGCCGCCUCCUCAUCUCGUUUCUUUCAGCCGCCGCCAGAUCUAGGAAGCCACCGGGAGGAGAACAACCCGCCAGACGCCACCCCCGUCGACCUAACCCGCAUCUCCCUCGCGCCCAUCGUCCCCUCUUGGCGCCCCCGCCUCUCCUCUCCCCCAUUCUCCUGCCGCAUUCCAUCCCCUGCUCCUCCGCCGUUCGAGUUGAGUCGUUGCUGCAGAGAGCGCCGCCUCCACUCUCCCAGGCCUUCUCCCCAUCCGCGACGUCGGCACACGGUGCGGGCAAGCUGUGGCGUGUCGUCGCCGUGCUGGGUUGGCCGGCCGGUGCCGCGCGGAUCCGGUUGGACGAGGUCGUUGGCGACCUGCCGCGGGAGGGGGACAGCGGGAUCUGCGCCAGGAGGUCCAGGGCACGCUGCUGCCGCUCGUGCAGCAGAGCGACGGCCUCACCGACGCGUCCGGGGAGAACUGCGUUGGCCUGGUCUUGUAAUGGGCAGGUGAAGUCAUUUUUAUGGGAUGCAAUAGUUCUUCAUCCACUUCCACGGCCCCCAAAACACAGCAGCCCUCACCCGAGGCGCAGAGCAGCCAGAACCAGUGAUGAUCGUGAGAUCCUGCCGACGAUGAUGGAGCUUCUUAAUCAGUUGGAUGGAUUUUAUGAGCUUAGCAAGAUUUUUGGAAGGUUGAAGGUGGAAUCGAACUCCGAGCUCGAGGUUGCGCUGGUGCAGUGGUGGCUGCGAUCGGGCCCGAUCUAGGAAAAAUCUUCCUCGUUUUUGGUCUGCAUGGCGAUGAUCUGUUUCUUCAGGAUCAGCUCGUUGCUAGAGCCGGCUCGGGACGCCUCCUAGACGACGACACGAGCUUGAAGCGAGCGGAACACUGAAGGAGGAUCUCGGGGAUGAAGGAAGCGUCAGCGACGACCUCAGGCGAGAGGCAUGUAAUGCAGGUAAUACUAGAGCUUCCAGCCUCCUCAGGCUGGCGUGGGAACAUCAGUAAGGGCUUGGAGCCUGUCAAAGAGGAGGCAAAGAGGACACUGCUGAUGAAACAUUAGGCCGAGACAAAAACAAAUGCCUAUUGGCUCAGUUUGCUAACCCAUAUGCAGUCUGCAUUCGUGCCGAGAAAGCGGCAACUAGGAGCUGCCGCGUGGGAACUACGUGUUCGAGGAGCAGGUCAUGUGCCUGGUGCUAGACGUGAUGGCAUGGGAUCAGACCGUCAUUACCAACUACCAGCAACAGAACGCGCAAGUCGUCUACGGCCUCGGCAUGACGUGUUGCCCUUUGCGCCAGCGUAGUGCAACAAGCUUGCAGCGUUGCUAUAUUAUUUUGUAAAGAGAUAGAACUUGUAGUACUGAUCAUGUGAAAUGCGCCGAUGUGGUAGGCAACCAUCUUUUUUGAAUGAAAUGUAUUUUAGAUUGUAAAGCUGGCCAAAAAGAGCUGUUGAAUGGGCGUUAUCCUACCUGGCACCGCACAAACUUCCUUUCGGACGCCACAGGUGGCGCCCCAACCACUAGUAAUGUACAAUAGCCGAGCAACCAUGUGCUACCA